UGACUCUUAGCUCAGUUGGUAGAACGCGUCACUAGUAUUCGAUCUGACCUUUUAAUGACGAGGUCAGUCCUUCAAGUCGGCUAGAGGGAG